rnacentral:rRNA from 1 species
AGAGGUGGCAAGCGUUAUCCGGAUUUAUUGGGCGUAAAGAGUCUGUAGGUUAUCUAACAAGGUUUUUUGUGAAAAUUCCAAUGCUCAACAUUUGAGCUGCAGAAAAUACUGUUAGAAUUGAGGAAGAUAGAGGUAAGUGGAAUUCCCGGUGUAGUAGUGAAAUGCGUUAAUAUCGGGAGGAACACCAAUAGCGAAGGCAGCUUACUGGAUCUUUCCUGACACUGAGAGACGAAAGCGUGGGUAGCGAAUGGGAUUAGAUACCCCAGUAGUCCACGCCGUAAACGAUGGAUAUUAGGCAUAGGGAGAGUCAACCCUUUCUGUGCCGAAGCUAACGCGAUAAAUAUCCCGCCUGGGAAGUACGGCCGCAAAGGCUAA